UACGUAGGGUGCAAGCGUUAUCCGGAAUUAUUGGGCGUAAAGAGCUCGUAGGCGGUUUGUCGCGUCUGCUGUGAAAACUGGGGGCUCAACCCCCAGCCUGCAGUGGGUACGGGCAGACUAGAGUGCGGUAGGGGAGAUUGGAAUUCCUGGUGUAGCGGUGGAAUGCGCAGAUAUCAGGAGGAACACCGAUGGCGAAGGCAGAUCUCUGGGCCGACACUGACACUGAGAGACGAAAGCUAGGGGAGCAAAUGGG
rnacentral:rRNA from 1 species